rnacentral:rRNA from 1 species
GAUGAGCGCUGGCGGCGUGCCUAAUACAUGCAAGUCGAACGAAGAUCUAGCUUGCUAGAUCUUAGUGGCGAACGGGUGAGUAAUACAUAAAUAAUCUGCCCAUAUGACUGGGAUAACUAUUGGAAACGAUAGCUAAUACCGGAUAGAUUGAUUGGAGGCAUCUCUGAUUAAUUAAAGUAGGAUUUCUACACAAAUGGAUGAGUUUAUGGCGCAUUAGUUAGUUGGUGGGGUAACGGCCUACCAAGACGAUGAUGCGUAGCCGACCUGAGAGGGUGACCGGCCACACUGGGACUGAGACACGGCCCAGACUCCUACGGGAGGCAGCAGUAGGGAAUUUUCGGCAAUGGGCGCAAGCCUGACCGAGCAACGCCGCGUGAGUGAUUAAGGCCUUCGGGUUGUAAAGCUCUGUUGUAAGGGAAGAACAUUCAGGAUAGGAAAUGAUCUUGAACUGACGGUACCUUACCAGAAAGCCACGGCUAACUACGUGCCAGCAGCCGCGGUAA